rnacentral:lncRNA from 1 species
CUGGCUCCGCCUCUAACCUCUCUUCUCUAUUUUAUAGGUUAAAAAUAGCCUAUACAAUAUUCUUUUUGAUCAAAUAAGGAAUAUCUUUCAUCGGCGUUCGGGGGAGGGCAUUAUUGGCAUGUUGCUGGCUGGCGGCCGUGAAAGUCUAUAGCUGAGAUGGAUGGUUGGCUGGAUUUGUGCUUAUAUGGGUGGCUGCAACUCGUUUUUUAUUUAAGAAUUUAGGGUGGAUUAGGUUUGUUGUUAACUUUUUUACUUAUUUAUAUUUAAAUUAUCUUUUAAGUGCAAUCUGAUCGGAUUUCUUGGAUUGAUCUAAAUAUGAUUUGAUCCAAAUUAAAUUUGAUCAAAUUGUAAAAUCUCUAUCCGAUCGAUUCGGCGGUCAAUUCGAAUCUAAUCCAAAUAUAUUUAUAUUGGAUCAGAUCGGAUUCGGAUGUCCACCUCUACUUUGGCUUCUUUCAUUCUUUUUUUUUUUUUUGUAUAAAGCAGGAAUUUACUAAUGGUAUACCUUGAAACUUGCGUAUUAAUCUAGUUGUACCCUCAUACUUCAAAAUUAUUAUAAUAUGCCUUUUGAUAUGAGUAAUGUCUAAAGUACCUCUAAUAGCUCCAGUUACACAAGCGGCUGAAUACUCAGCCAUCUUUGUUCUUCUCAUUUACGAGAUUUUUUGCUCCCCCUCUUCACUAAAUUUCUUCUCCUUUGGCUGCAUUACCAUAAUAAUUCUCUCUUCUCGGUAGCGGCAUUCUUGGCGGCGGCAUUCUCAGUGGUGGUUAAAAUCAUCCCUAAUUUAUGGCCAAGAUUUCAUGAAGCAGAAUCAAUAUCAGAUUUUUGCCAAGUAAAAUUUUAUAUAUACAUAGAUGGGGUUCUUGAAUCUUGAUCAUAUGAUUUAUAUUUGGUUAACAUCACAUUUCUUAUUAUCAAGUCUGAUAUGGUAAUGGGUUGGAUUAGUCUCUGGUUUUAUCGAAUAUUGUUGAAGAGUUGAUAGAGUACUUUCUUGAUACUG